rnacentral:rRNA from 2 species
UACGGAGGGUGCAAGCGUUAUCCGGAUUUACUGGGUUUAAAGGGUGCGUAGGCGGGUUGAUAAGUCAGUGGUGAAACCUCCGAGCUUAACUCGGAAACUGCCAUUGAUACUAUCAGUCUUGAAUUCAGUUGAGGUGGGCGGAAUGUGUCGUGUAGCGGUGAAAUGCUUAGAUAUGACACAGAACACCAAUUGCGAAGGCAGCUCGCUAAACUGACAUUGACGCUGAGGCACGAAAGCGUGGGGAGCAAACAGG